rfam:Oryza rufipogon genomic scaffold, chr01
AUUAGAUUUACACCUUAAUAUAUCCGAUGUUUGAUUGUUCGUUUUAUUUGAAAGCCUUUUAUGAUUAGUACUUUUAUUGUUAUUAGAUGAUAAAACAUGAAUAGUAUUUUACGUGCGACUAUUUUUUUUACCUUUUUUUUUUCAAAUAAGACGUACGGUCAAACGUUGGACACGGAUAUCCACGAUUGCACUUAUU